UACGAAGGGGGCUAGCGUUGCUCGGAAUGACUGGACGUAAAGGGCGCGUAGGCGGCUCAGUAAGUCAGGUGUGAAACCUCCAGGCUCAACCUGGAGACGCCACCUGAUACUGCUGUGGCUAGAGUCCGGUAGGGGAGCGUGGAAUUCCUGGUGUAGCGGUGAAAUGCGCAGAUAUCAGGAGGAACACCAGCGGCGAAGGCGGCGCUCUGGGCCGGAACUGACGCUGAGGAGCGAAAGCGUGGGUAGCAAACAGG
rnacentral:rRNA from 1 species